GUGGGGAUAGCUCAGUUGGGAGAGCGUCAGACUGAAGAUCUAAAGGUCACAUGUUCAAUCCAUGUUCACUGCA